UUAGCUAUUUUAGAUAGCGUUUGUACUAUGAAACAUCAUAGAUACAAACGUCAAACUCAAGUUUGUAUCUAUGAUGGCUAAGGAUCUUAAGCGUGUCUAGCCCUCAUAGAAUGGAUAAAUUCUAAAUGGGCUAUACCACUAUUAAUAUAUGCUAUUAUUCAGCCCAUUUAGUUUUUUCCA
rnacentral:ncRNA from 1 species